rnacentral:rRNA from 1 species
GACGAACGCUGGCGGUGUGCUUCACACAUGCAAGUCGAACGAGGUAGCAAUACCUAGUGGCGGACGGGUGAGUAACGCGUGGGAAUCUGCCUUUAGAUGGGGGAUAACGGGUCGAAAGACUCGCUAAUACCGCAUAUGACGAAAGUUGAAAGGAGUAAUCCGUCUAAAGAUGAGCCCGCGUCCGAUUAGCUAGUUGGUAGAGUAAAAGCCUACCAAGGCGACGAUCGGUAGCUGGUCUGAGAGGAUGAUCAGCCACAAUGGGACUAGAAGACACGGCCCAUACUCCUACGGAGGCAGCAGUGGGAAUUUUACGCAAUGGGCGAAAGCCUGACGUAGCGACACCGACGUGAGCGAAGAAGGCCCCUUGGGGUGUAAAGCUCUGUCAGCUGGAACGAAAAAAUGACGGUACCAGCAGAGGAAGCAUCGGCUAACUACGUGCCAGCAGCCGCGGUAAU